rnacentral:rRNA from 1 species
UACAGAGGAUGCAAGCGUUAUCCGGAUUUAUUGGGCGUAAAGCGUCCUGAGGUUGUCUGUCAAGUCUUCUGUAAAAUAUCAGGGCUCAACCCUGGAGAUGCGGUAGAAACUAGCAGGCUAGAGUAUGGUAGGGGUAGAGGGAAUUCCCGGUGUAGCGGUGAAAUGCAUAGAGAUCGGGAAGAACACCAAUGGCGAAAGCACUCUACUGGGCCAAUACUGACACUGAAAGACGAAAGCUAGGGGAGCAAAAGGG